rnacentral:rRNA from 1 species
UACGUAGGGUCCGAGCGUUGUCCGGAAUUACUGGGCGUAAAGAGCUCGUAGGUGGUUUGUCGCGUUGUUCGUGAAAACUCACAGCUCAACUGUGGGCGUGCGGGCGAUACGGGCAGACUUGAGUACUGCAGGGGAGAAUGGAAUUCCUGGUGUAGCGGUGAAAUGCGCAGAUAUCAGGAGGAACACCGGUGGCGAAGGCGGUUCUCUGGGCAUUACCUGACGCUGAGGAGCGAAAGUGUGGGGAGCGAACAGG